UACGUAGGGAGCAAGCGUUGUCCGGAAUCAUUGGGCGUAAAGCGCGCGUAGGUGGCUUCGUAAGUCCGUUGUGAAAGUCAAAGGCUCAACCUUUGAAAGCCGAUGGAUACUGCGGAGCUAGAGUACAGAAGAGGCGAGUGGAAUUCCUGGUGUAGCGGUGGAAUGCGCAGAUAUCAGGAGGAACACCAAUAGCGAAGGCAGCUCGCUGGGACGUUACUGACACUGAGGCGCGAAAGCGUGGGGAGCGAACAGG
rnacentral:rRNA from 1 species